AUGGACUCCAUCCCCAUCCCGGACGUCCUCUUGGAGGAGAUCUUUCUCCGCCUGCCCGCCCCGGACACGCUCGUCCGCGCCUCUGCCACCUGCACCACCUUCUGCCGCGUCAUCAAAGGUCGCGCCUUCCGCCGCCGCUUCCACGCGCUACACCGGCCUCCCCUCCUUGGCUUCAUGGACGCCGCCGGAUUCCACCCUGCCGAGGCACCGCACCCCUCCGCCCCGCUCGCCGGCGCCCUCACCCCCUGCGCUGCCGAUUUCUCCUUCGUCCCGGCCGUUGUUUCUUCAUCCUCUUACUACAAGAAAGAUGACGGGAAAGGCCCCCGCUGGCGCCCCCGCGACGUCCGUGGCGGCCGCGUCCUCCUAGACUGGAUCUCCCUCCACCCCCGCUUCAUCAAGAGCUGGAGCUAUCACUACGGCUCCGACAUAAGCAUCCUCGUGGACAUCAGCGACGUCCUUGGGAGGGGACCCCACCACACGUGGACCAAACGGGACAUGUGCAACGCCGCUGACUUCCACCUCGCUGUCUGCGAUCCGCUGUCCCGCGGAUUCAUGCUGCUUCCAACAAUACCCGAGGACCUCGCCGCCCUGCCGCAAGACCGCCUUGGGGCAUUCGAGCCCGUGCUCGCUCCGGCAACCGGCGACGAGCCCUUCAAGGUGAUAUGUGUGGCAAGAUACGAGACAAAGCUCGUCAUCUUUGUGUUCCCGUCCACAACUAUGCAAUGGUGUAUGGUUGAGUCCCCUGUCGUCCCUUCUUGGCACGUCAUGUCCUGUUUUGACUGCGUGGGCAGCUGCUUCUACUGGACAGACCGUUAUGACUGGACUGACCAUUUGAUGGUGCUGGACACACGUACUUUGAGGUUUUCAACUGUCAAUUUUCUCACUGGCUACCAUAUGGAGCUCAGAGAUGCUGACCUGAGCAUUGGUCAUGAUUGGCGUCCGAAUGCAGUUGUUGUGGGUAGUGAAGGAGCCAUUGAGAUGUUUUCUCUUGUCCCUCAGCACGGGUCCUUUGCUCUCCAUCAUACCUCUCUGCAGCCUGGGCAGGAUAGUACUCAUGAAUGGAAGCUGGAGAAGAUCGUACAGCUACCUAGGCAGGGUCAUGGCUAUUCCAUUUCCACAGUGGGUGCGGCCGAGGGAUUCUUGUUCUUCCAAGACAUUCCUGCUGGCCAUGAGCUUGAGAAUUUUGAUUGUUAUUCAAUGGAGGUCAAAACAUAUGAGAUUAUCAAGGUCUGUACAAAGGAUUUCUUUGACAGUGCACGAGCUCAUCCCUACUUUAGCUUCCCACCGGUGUUAUCGGAACCAACUGUUUGA
rnacentral:rRNA from 1 species